UCAGGAUGAACGCGUAGCGACAGGCCUAACACAUGCAAGUCGAGGGGCGAGCACAAGGAGCAAUCUGAGGUGGCGACCGGCGCACGGGUGAGUAACACGUAUGCAACCUGCCUGUAAGCGGGGAAUAACCCGUUGAAAGACGGACUAAUACCGCAUAAUACUAAAUUACUGCAUGGUAAUUUAUUUAAACAUUUAUGGCUUACAGAUGGGCAUGCGCAUGAUUAGCUAGUUGGAGAGGUAACGGCUCCCCAAGGCAACGAUCAUUAGGGGUUCUGAGAGGAAGGUCCCCCCACACUGGUACUGAGACACGGACCAGACUCCUACGGGAGGCAGCAGUGAGGAAUAUUGGUCAAUGGACGAGAGUCUGAACCAGCCAAGUCGCGUGCAGGAAGAAUUGUCCUAUGGAUUGUAAACUGCUUUUGCAGGGGAAUAAAGUGCAUCACGUGUGAUGUUUUGUAUGUACUCUGCGAAUAAGGAUCGGCUAACUCCGUGCCAGCAGCCGC
rnacentral:rRNA from 1 species